UGCAAGUGUAAUUUUCCGUGUGCCAAAAUUUUGGAUUACAAAGUUUCAUGGAUAGUUUCUGAACUUUGAACUUAAGAAACAAAUUAGCCAUUGCUUCUCUGACGAUUCUGACAUUUUUUGAAAACUUCGUGCAAGAUCUGAUUUGUCUUCUUCACGGCUUGACGACCACCUCGUGGCUGAGGUCCAUUUACAAUCGCGUGGGUGCUUCUUCAUGGCCGUUUUCUUCCAUCCGUUGAGCUGUUGGCCAAAUUGAAAAACAUUCCCGAGGAAGGGGGCAGCCAUUUGUGAUGAUGGCUUAUCUCGACACGACCACACUAGAAAAGGGAUUAAACUGCAAGUCGUCGGUUGGUUGGCCUGUCUACGUUCGUCCCGCCUACAAAAGCAGCUGACAAGGACGGCGAGAGAACCGGAGGUUUGCCAAAUGCAACAAGAGAGGCGGAAGUCAAAUAUUGACCCCUAUCUUCUUCUUUCACCUUUACAAAGGAUGGAACAGGCGAUGGACUUGUGUAAUUCUUCGCGCGUCAACCACUCUACUCCACCCGGAACGCAAAGUAAGAGAGGAUAUCCUCUGAUUUGUUGCUAUACUUCAAAUGCGCAUAUAACGGAAACGAACAGUGAAACCGACCACCUUUGGUCAACUUCU